rnacentral:rRNA from 1 species
AACGAACGCUGGCGGCGUGCUUAACACAUGCAAGUCGAACGCGAAAGGGGCUUCGGUCCUGAGUAGAGUGGCGCACGGGUGAGUAACGCGUAGAUAACCUGUCCUGGUGUCUGGAAUAACGUCUCGAAAGGGGCACUAAUACCGGAUAUUCUUGCUUUCUUCAAGGUAUGCAAGGAAAGGUGGCCUCUGGAACAAGCUACUGCACGAGGAGGGGUCUGCGUACCAUUAGCUAGUAGGUGGGGUAAUGGCCUACCUAGGCGACGAUGGUUAGCGGGUCUGAGAGGAUGAUCCACCACACUGGCACUGGAAUACGGGCCAGACUCCUACGGGAGGCAGCAGUGAGGAAUAUUGCGCAAUGGGGGCAAUCCUGACGCAGCGACGCCACGUGAGUGAGGAAGGCCUUCGGGUCGUAAAGCUCUGUCAAGAGGGAAGAGGUGCAUGGUGGUUAAUAUCUGUCAUGUUUGACGGUACCUCUAAAGGAAGCACCGGCUAACUCCGUGCCAGCAGCCGCGGUAA